rnacentral:snRNA from 1 species
UCACUGUGAAGAACAAGUACC